ensembl:lncRNA
AGAAUAAGGAUCCGUAAGUGCAUACUCACAUUAACUAAAGAAAUAAAUAUGAAAGGAAAGCUCUUCCUAACAGUAAAAGGAAUAAUGAAAUUGGAAAGAUGACCAUUCUCGACCAUCAUUGUAAUAACUGAUUCAGAACAGCAGGAGGACCGCUGAUACCAGAGGAACUUGCUGACAGCCUCCUGCCUGCCUAAGCCUCUUGCCCGAGCAUUGAGAAGCUAAAAUGACUGAUUGUAAACUUUAAACUUCAAAGACCAAAACUCCACUGUGUGCAACACAUAGAACAGAUAGUCAUGCCUGUGCAGAAGACUCAGAACUUCAGCGCCAAGGCCACGUGCUCCCCCUCCCCUACCUGAAACCCCAAAUAAAAACCCUUGUCUGUAACUUUUCGGGGAGUUCAGGAUUACAGCAUUAGCUGCCUGUUCUCCCUGCUCAGCACUUUGCAGUAAAAUUCCCACUUUCUUCCACUACACCCUGUGUCAGAGAUUGGCUUGCUGCGCAAUGGGUGAGUAAACUCACUUUAAGUUCGAUAUCAAAUUUGGCGACCCAGAUGGGACUGUGUUCAAUGUGGACGUCUCACCUCUGGCACACCAGCCUCUGGCUAAAGGCCUCUCUUGGAGGCUGUCCUGCAGCUGCCUGAGCCCCUUGUCUCAGGGACAACCCCAAGCAACUGGCUGCUGACCAGACAUCGUUGGCCCACGGCACUUUUGCUUUUGGUGGUGGAAGAAGCAAGGUUGGGGAUUUGGGAAGAUAUCUCUUACUGGCCCAGAACUAACAUCUGCUGCCAAUUCUCGUCCUUUUGCUGAGGAAGACUGGCCCUGAGCUAACAUCUGUGCCCAUCUUCGUCUACUUUUUAUAUGUGGGACUCCUACCAUAGCAUGGCUUGACAAGCAGUGCCAUGUCCUCACCCGGGAUCUGAACCGGCAAACUUCGGGCCGCCAAAGGGGAACGUGCGAACUUAACUGCUGCGCCACCGGGCCGGCCCCUGGAUGUAGGACACAAGUGGAAACACUGGUUAUAUUACCCCGACUUUGACUGGAAUGUCAUAUUUGAAAAAAGUGUAUAAACUCAGAUAUGACCAUAUAACUUUUGAGGAACAAAGGUUGUCUUUAUGAAAUAAAGCCACUUGGAAAUAUUGGCCUGGUACCUUGCGAACAGGAUACCCAGGAACCUUACCAGGUGAGUAAAGAAGGUCACUUCCCUGGCAGGUGCAAGAACCUAAGGAUGUUUGAAGGAUCUCGAGAAGAGAGGAAUUCACCCAAAUCUGUGGGUGUUUCAGGCAGAAUCUGAUGACAAGUCCUUCGCUUGGCUUUCCUGGCCUCAAGAGGCCUUUAAAGUUCAAUCUGAGAUUCCUUACAAAACGUUCCAUCAAAGCAGAUUUAAAGGAGCCUCUAUGAUCAAUUGCUGUUCCUGCUGUAGUUUUGUAAAUGGUUUCAAGUUUACUGAAACUAGACUUAUUUUGUGAACCAAUCAGUCUUAAUUUGACUAUCUUCAGUAAAAAUGAGGGUGAUUUUAGAGAGAAAAAUUGUGUUUCAAUAGAAACUAUAAUACACAUUUGUGGAUAUUAGAUUCUGGUUCUGUUAAUUGUAUUUGAGAUUUUAGUUUUCUAUCUGCAAACUGAAGCUUGACAACUUGAUGUAAACUUAAGAGAGAACACCAUGCUAGCCCAUAUUUAGAAAAUCUUCAUGCCUGUUGCUGUAUAAACCACUCAAAAAGUUUGCCUGAGCACCUGAUGACAUCAUCAGAGACAUUUCAAACUGUAGGGGAUACUUCAACCCUGACAUCUAGAAAUCUUGACGGGUCAUCCCCUGGGCUCAGGAAUUUAUUUAUAAUUUGCUCCACCCAUUAACCUUGUUUUCGUUUUGUUUCUCUAGAAAUGCUUCUUAUUAAGUACCUGGUUACUUGCUUACAGAAUAUAGGCCUAGCUUUGGGAGACCCUUCCUAUGUUCUAGAGAUGAUCCAAAAGAACCAGAGAGAACUCAAAUUAAGGAACUAGACGCUGUCAGAUGUUCCUCUGCAUCAUCUUUGUAGUGGAGACUGAAUCCUAUUAAAGUCCUGAAAACACAAGCACCCAGAAGAUCAACUUCAUCCCCACUGAAUGGGACCAUACAAGAAAUGCCACAAGGGAACAGAAACCAUGCCAUAGAAGAACAUCACAACCAGGAUCACCCAAAUCUUGGCUGGCUUCAUACUCUAGACACUCACUUCUCUGAAUGGACAAAUGAACCUCUGAUAGACCUCAAGUUGCUAUACAGAAGACAGUCUCCUAAAGAUAAUAAAUGACUCUCAGAUUCUUACCUUACUUGUUGGACUACUAAACAGCAUGCUAUUUAGUUACAUCAGAUUUCACUUGAAGUUCCAGGCCCUAACCUUGAUUGGUUUACAGGCCUCUUCUCCUGGAUUCCCCAAGGAGUAAGGUCCAUUGUGGAGGGGAUACUAAAAUUUUGGUUGUGUAUUUUGCUAAUAUGUGUGGUUGUCUAUGUAAUCAUAAAAUGUGGACUUAUGUGUUGUUCUGAAGACAUUGAUCAGAGUAGUAAAAUAUUAGUCAUGCAGAACAUACCUCACUCUCCCCCAUCUGGUACCCAAGAAUAUUUUUUAAAUAAAGGUAGAACAAUUUCAUUUCUCUGACCUCAAACUUUGCCCUUUCACAGCAAGACGCAGCUAGAGCAGUCUUCACCCCCAUUUCCCAAGAUUGAGGAAUGAUCAAAAGAGAGGGGGGCAUUGAAACUGAGGAUGAAGCAGUCAAAAUUUCGCUGGAUUAAGGUGAAAUUGUGCCUUGUACCCACAAGAUUAAUGUGGGAAACAAAAUAACCAAGGUUUCUGAGCUUGUCUUGCAGAACAGCAGGAGGACCGCUGAUACCAGAGAAACUUGCUGACAGCCUCCUGCCUGCCUAAGCCUCUUGCCCGAGCAUUGAGAAGCUAAAAUGACUGAUUGUAAACUUUGGAUGUCACAGACCAAAACUCCACCGUGUGCAACAGAUAAUCAUGCCUGUGCGAGGACUUUUAGAACUUCAGCGCCAAGAACUUCAGCUCCCCCUGCCCUACCUAAAACCCCAAAUAAAAACCCUUGCUUGUAGCUUUUUGAGAGUUCUGGAUUACAGCAUUAGCUGCCUAUUCUCCCUGAUCAGUGCUUUGUAAUAAAAUUCCUACUUUCUUC